GAAAUAGUUUCAUAAUCUACAAGAGCAAACAGGAUACACAUGGAAUGGAAUGUCUUCUACUUCAAAGACUCAAAACAUGAUAAAACCGUAACAAAAACAACCUCACAUACUCCCAGAAAUAAACAGCAGUAGAUGUAACUAAGAAGGCCUCCGCCAUAGAAAGUCAAUAUGAAGAGGCUAGGAAGGAUUCUUCCUUCAAUAUUUUGAGGCUGCUUUUCUGGAUAACUAGAAAG
rnacentral:misc_RNA from 1 species